AUGGGGCUGGCAGCCAACCACCCCGUCGCUAUUGUCCAUUGUGCGAGGUUGGACACUUUUGCAACCCGCACGACUGGAGAUGACGGCCACCGGUGCUUCAACCGACUUACUCCUGGCGGGGGCCGGAUGCUACAACCAUUGGAUGGAGGAACCGCCUGGGAGCGAAGCUGCAUCCGUUCCCGGCGAAAGUGGCAUCCCUUCCCGGCGAAAGUUGCAUCCGUUACCGGUGAAAACUGCAUCCUGUCACCGGCGGCACCGCGACAACACGCGGGAGGUGUUGGAACCGGCUGCCGGAGGUGUUGCAUCCGUUUCCGGCGAAGCUACAGCCGGCGGUGCUGCAACCACAUUGAUCUAUGCUGGAACCAAACAGCCGUCGAAGUUGUUUUGCUAGCACCGACGAUUUGUUUUGCUGGAACCGAGCUUUUGUUGCUGAGGUUUUUUGCUGGGAAAAUGGUGGUGCCAGCCGACGACGGCGGCGAGCUAGAUGCGGCAGCCCUGAAGAUGUUGCAGACCACGACGAGCACGCGCUGGAACCAGUCGGUGGGAGAGGUGCAGUCGUCACCGAUCGAAGCUGGAACCACCGGCGGCCGUGUUGAAUCUCGCCGGCGAUGGCGAGACGGCGAAUGUCGUCGACGAUAUAGCAGCCUGCACGGCAGUUAUAUUUUUCAAUUAUCGGUCAAUGGUGCUACGCCCAUAUCAGCGGCCCUGCUUGCCCCUCGGAUUCUUCAUCCUAACCAGACGAUGUUCACCAAGGGACGAUAUAUUUUAGAUGGGAUCCUCGUCCCGCACAAGGUCCUUCAUGAGGUUAAAAGGAAACACCUACGCGCGAUUUUCUUUAAGAUUGAUGUCCAUAAGGCAUAUGAUACAAUCCACUGGUCCUUCCUUCGGGAGGGCAUCUGCCCGCACCUCAUUGGAGAAGGGGGACUUACCCACCUUAAGUACGCGGAUAACACAAUCCUGAUGGUCGAAGGCUCAGACCAGGACAUUCAACAUCUUAAGUUCCUCCUCCCGUGCUUCCAAGAAAUGUCGGUAUUGACAAUAAACUUCACGAAUAGCAAAGUGAUGGUGUUAGGCUACAUCGCGGAGGAAUCCCUCCGCAUAGCCAAUCGACUUAAUUGUCGACAAGGAUCAUUCCCAACUACCUAUCUCAGCUUGUCGAUUAGUGAUUCUCGUCUCCAGGAAAAGGACCUCUGCACUACUGUAUCCAACGUUCAACAUCGAGUCGAACCAUGUCAAGGCUUGCAUGAAUCCCUUCUUCAGCAAAUUGCCAUAUACCUGUCCAGAUUCCUCUGGGCAAGGCAGGGUGAUCGGCAGAAAUACCACCCGGUUAAAUGGUUUGAGAUAUGUAAGCUCAAGGACCAGGGCGGCCUGGGGGUCAUCUCCUCGAAGCGAAUGAAUAUCACCCUUCUAUCCAAGUGGCUGUGGUUCAUUAAGACCGGUGAAAGGGGGAUUGUGGUUUGA
rnacentral:rRNA from 1 species